rnacentral:rRNA from 1 species
GCGGACGGGUGAGUAACACGUGGAUAACCUACCUAUAAGACUGGGAUAACUUCGGGGAACCGGAGCUAAUACCGGAUAAUAUAUUGAACCGCAUGGUUCAAUAGUGAAAGACGGUUUUGCUGUCACUUAUAGAUGGAUCCGCGCCGCAUUAGCUAGUUGGUAAGGUAACGGCUUACCAAGGCAACGAUGCGUAGCCGACCUGAGAGGGUGAUCGGCCACACUGGAACUGAGACACGGUCCAG